ensembl:lncRNA LINC02463 long intergenic non-protein coding RNA 2463
AGUCCUGAAAAUGGAAAAGCGUCUGGAGUUUUGGGUACUCCCAAUGCCCCAAUUAUCCUUUUAUUACCCUGAUUUACAACAUAACUUCAUAGGAGACGUUCUGAUGAGCAAAAUGACUUGGGUAACAAAAUGAUCUGGCAAAACCAGCAACUAAGGCAAGGACACAAGAAGAUGGCUGUCUACAAGCCAGGAAAAGAUUCUGCACCAGGAACUGGAUCAACUGGCACCUUGAUCUUGGACUUCCCAGCCUCCAGAACUAUGAGAUGAGAAAUAAGUGUCUAUUGUUUAAGCCUCCCAGUCUAUGGUAUUUUGUUAUAGCAACCCAAGAUGACAAAGACAACAAGCCUAAAAUGAAAAAUGGCAAAGUAACCAAGAUGUCCUUCAAGAGGGCUGUUUGUUGUCCAAAAAGCCUUUUUCCCUAAGCUUGAAAGCUUAACUUCUCAGAAGCAGGAAGCUGCCUUUUGCCAAGAGUAAAUGGGUGAGAAGUCCAAAGGUCU